CGCGUAGGCGGUCCUGUAAGUCAGAUGUGAAAGCCCGGGGCUUAACCCCGGAAGUGCAUUUGAAACUAUGGGACUUGAGUAUGGGAGAGGGAAGUGGAAUUCCUGGUGUAGAGGUGAAAUUCGUAGAUAUCAGGAGGAACACCGGUGGCGAAGGCGACUUCCUGGACCAAUACUGACGCUGAGGCGCGAAGGCGUGGGGAGCAAACAGGAUUAGAUACCCGAGUAGUCC
rnacentral:rRNA from 1 species